rnacentral:rRNA from 1 species
AUGCGACCACGGGGAACCAUUGCUGGCUGCUCUUCAGCGUGGCAUUGGCGUCUUGGUUACUACCAUGCUCGACGAUCUUCUGGAGGAGCAUGCCGAAGCUGUAGACAUCACACUUCUCGGCGAUGUGUAGCUCCAUCCAAACCUCCGGCGCGGUGUGCCCAAAAGUGCCGCGUCCGUGGGACAGAGACAUGUGUUUCGGCAUGGUUGACGAGGCUUGCGAGGCCAAAGUCGGCCACCUUGGGCCUGAGGGUGCUGUCGAGGAGGGGGUGCUGGUGGAUACAAAAAUGCUUCUCCUGGGUCCUGGCAACUACGGUGGCUAUCGGAAUCAAGGGGGUGGAGCACCUGCUAAGUGAUCUCAACCUUGAUGGUGCUUGCAAGGAGGAUGCUCUUUGCAAGGAGGUUUGA